rnacentral:rRNA from 1 species
AUGUUGCCCGUGCUUGUUAACAGAGCGAAACAAGAUGGUCAGGUAGGUGGUCUUAUCCCCCAUCUAGUUGAUGGUGGGGUAUCUAUCCUACAAUACGCAGACGAUACUAUUAUUUUCAUGGAGCAUGACCUCGCGAAAGCAAGGAACAUGAAGUUAGUUCUUUGCUUAUUCGAACAACUAUCCGGACUCAAGAUUAAUUUUAAUAAGAAUGAAUUAUUCUGCUUUGGACGCGCUAAGGAGGAGCAAGAAAGUUAUAAACAGUUGUUCGGGUGUGAAUUAGGUGUGCUUCCCUUUACGUAUCUAGGGGUACCAAUUCAUCAUCGCAAACUUGCUAAUAAAGAAUGGAAAUGUAUUGAGGAUAGGUUUGAGAAGAAAUUAAGUUGCUGGAAAGGCAAACUUUUAUCGUACAGAGGAAGGUUAACUCUUAUUAAUUCGGUGCUAACGAGCAUGCCGAUGUUCCUCCUCUCUUUCUUUGAAGUACCAGUAGGAGUACGGAAAAGAUUAGAAAACUACCAAUCCAAAUUCUUUUGGCAAAUUGAUGAGAAUAAGGCCAAGUAUAGGCUAAGUGGGAGAUGA